AACGUAGGUGGCAAGCGUUAUCCGGAUUUACUGGGCGUAAAGCGUGUGCAGGCGGGGGUACAAGUGGUGUAUGAAAUUUCCCAGCUUAACUGGGAAGGGUUAUGCCAGACUGUACUUCUGGAGUGCGAGAGAGGGGCGUGGAAUUCCGGGUGUAGUGGUGAAAUGCGUAGAGAUCCGGAGGAACCCCAGAGGCGAAGGCGGCGCCCUGGCUCGCAACUGACGCUCAGACACGACAGCAUGGGGAGCGAACAGG
rnacentral:rRNA from 1 species